GUUAGCUCUCCAUCCUGAAGGAUUCCGAUGUACCACGUUGGUUUCCAGUCUUCUGACCCACCUUGCAAAUAUGAUUUACCAGCCUGCAGAGUCAGUGAACAGAAUUAGACUUCUUGAACUUGCUGCAAGGAAGCAACAGGCAGGCAAGACGGCUAGAGACUGUUGUUUGUGCUAGAAACUGCAAUCCAAGAUGCAUCCUUGUCACUUCAGAAUCUUCUUUGUUAAGGCCUAGCAUGUGCCGCAUCAGAGCUUUCUUUGGUCAUGUUUUCCUCCUUGAUGAAAGUCCACAAGAAGUCUUGACAAGAGCCCCUCUGGCUGUAUCCUGGAGAGAUGUUCGCGCUGCCUUCC